rnacentral:rRNA from 1 species
GACGUAGGGGGCGAGCGUUAUCCGGAUUCACUGGGCGUAAAGGGCGCGCAGGUGGCUACGUAAGUCCGGCGUGAAAUCCCAUGGCUUAACUGUGGAACUGCGUCGGAUACUGCGUUGGCUAGAGGACGGUAGAGGCUUUUGGAACUAGCGGUGUAGCGGUGAAAUGCGCAGAUAUCGCUAGGAACGCCGGUGGCGAAGGCGGAAGGCUGGGCCGUUCCUGACACUGAGGCGCGAAAGCUAGGGGAGCGAACCGG